UACGUAGGGUGCGAGCGUUGUCCGGAAUUAUUGGGCGUAAAGAGCUCGUAGGCGGUUUGUCGCGUCUGCUGUGAAAACUCAGGGCUUAACCCUGAGCCUGCAGUGGGUACGGGCAGACUAGAGUGUGGUAGGGGAGAUCGGAAUUCCUGGUGUAGCGGUGGAAUGCGCAGAUAUCAGGAGGAACACCGGUGGCGAAGGCGGAUCUCUGGGCCAUAACUGACGCUGAGGAGCGAAAGCAUGGGGAGCAAACAGG
rnacentral:rRNA from 1 species